UACGAAGGGCGCAAGCGUUAAUCGGAAUUACUGGGCGUAAAGCGUGCGUAGGCGGUUCGUUAAGUCUGAUGUGAAAGCCCUGGGCUCAACCUGGGAAUGGCAUUGGAUACUGGCGGGCUAGAGUGCGGUAGAGGGGUGCGGAAUUCCCGGUGUAGCGGUGAAAUGCGUAGAGAUCGGGAGGAACAUCUGUGGCGAAGGAGGCCCCCGGGACCAGCAAUGACGUUGAGGCACGAAAGCGUGGGGAGCAAACAGG
rnacentral:rRNA from 1 species